rnacentral:rRNA from 1 species
AAGGGAGAGUGGGCGGAAGGAACCGAACCGGUAUCAUAAAAUAAGUAUAGUAAAGGAAAAUAAUAUAAUAUAAGAGUAGUUGUUUUAUGUCAGUUGCUUAAGAGGAGCAGUUGCAUCUCUUCCCGAUGGACCUGCGUUUUGUUAGCUAUUUGGUGGGUUAACGCACUCACCCACGCCAACAUACCUAGACGAACUGAGAGGGUGAUAGGGCGAUCUGGGACUGGGGGACUGACACACCGCCUAGACUCCUACGGUAUGGAGAAUCUUCUGCUCUUCAGCAAGGUCUGACCGACCAAAGCCACUUGAGUGAAGAAAGUUUUCAAAUAUUUCGGCUCGGUUGGCUGAGAUGAACGAGAAGAAUAAUGGAAUGUUCACUAUGCGACGGAAUCACAGCACAUAAGGACGGCUAACUACCUGCCUACGCCUCAGCUAAUACGGUGCUACGAGCGCUGUCCCGAUUUUUGGAAUUAUUGCGCGCGCAGGCCGCUAAAGUGGUCUAAAAAUACGGAUUGCGAAUCCACCAGAUUACCCUUUGAAAACUCAUUGGACUUGAGUGCAAGAGGAGAGAGUGAGAUUUCCAUGGGUAUCGAUAAUAUACCGUAGACAUAUGGAAGAACUUCGGGUGGGCAAACGCGGGGCCUAUGGCUGCGUAUCUGGACCUGGAAGGUUCCGAUUGAGUGCCGAAC